CAUCGCCUCUUGCCAACUAAAUGAAGUAUUAGAGGUCCCGCCUGCCCUGUGACCAAAGUGUUUAACGGCCGCGGUAUCCUGACCGUGCGAAGGUAGCGUAAUCAUUUGUCUUUUAAAUGAAGACCAGUAUGAAUGGCAUCACGAGGGUUUAACUGUCUCCUUCCCCCAGUCAAUGAAAUUGAUCUGCCCGUGCAGAAGCGGACAUAAAAACAUAAGACGAGAAGACCCUAUGGAGCUUUAGGCGAAAGUCAAACAUGUACAAGGACCCGAAACAUUGAUAAAUAAUAAAAGGCCUAAACCUAACCAAAUGUAAAAUGACUUACAUGCCUUCGGUUGGGGCGACCAUGGAGGAAAACAAAGCCUCCACAUGGAAUGGGGACAUCCCCCUAAACCAAGAAAGACAAUUCUAAGUAACAGAACAUCUGACCAAAAAUGACCCAGGACCUAGUCCUGAUCAAUGAACCAAGUUACCCUAGGGAUAACAGCGCAAUCCUUUCCCAGAGUCCAUAUCGACGAAAGGGUUUACGACCUCGAUGUUGGAUCAGGACAUCCUAAUAGUGCAGCCGCUAUUAAGGGUUCGUUUGUUCAACGAUUAAUAGUCCUACAUGAUC
rnacentral:rRNA from 1 species